rnacentral:lncRNA from 1 species
UUUUUUUUUUUUUUUUUUUUUUUUUGGAUUUUUUCAAGACAGGAUUUCUCUGUGUAGCCCUGGCUGUCCUGGAACUCACUUUGUAGACCAGGCUGGCCUUGAACUCAGAGAUCCACCUGCCUCUGCUUCCCAAGUGCUGGGAUUAAAGGCGUGUGCCACCAAAGCCCAGCUUAUAUGUGUGAUUCUUUUUUUUCUUUUCUUUUUUUUUUUGUUUUUUGUUUUUUUUCGAGACAGGGUUUCUCUGUGUAGCUCUGGCUGUCCUGGAACUCACUUUGUAGACCAGGCUGGCCUUGAACUCAGAGAUCCACCUGCCUCUGCUUCCCAAGUGCUGGGAUUAAAGGCGUGUGCCACCAAAGCCCAGCUUAUAUGUGUGAUUCUUUUUUUUUUUUUUUUCCUUUUUUUUUUUUUGGGUUUUUCGAGACAGGGUUUCUCUGUGUAGCUCUGGCUGUCCUGGAACUCACUUUGUAGACCAGGCUGGCCUUGAACUCAGAAAUCCGACUGCCUCUGCCUCCGGAGUGCUAGGAUUAAAGGCGAGAGCCACCACGCCCGGCUAUGUGUGUGAUUCUUACUGAAAAAAAAACCAAAAAAAAAAAAAACUUAUUUUGUAGUUAUUCCCUUGUCAUUUUUUUAUUAUUGUUGAUAGUCUUUUUGUUUGUUUGACUGGUUGGUUUUGUCUUUUGAGACAGGGUUUUUCCUUAUUGCCCUGGCUGUCUUAGAACUUGCUCUGUAGACCAGGUUUGUCCUGCACUCAUGGAGAGAGAAAUGACGUCCACUGCAGCCGUGCAAGGAUAGAGGUGAAGAUGGCCUAAGCUAGAAGGGUGACCAAGUUGGAGAGAAGAUGGCUCAGCAGCAACAAUGAAGUUGCUUGUCUCACAGCCUGAGUUCAGUCCCUAGAGUUCACAUGGUGGACAGAGAGAAUUGACUGUCACAUUGUCCUCUGACCUUCAUAUGCACUCUCUGCAAGGCCAAUCCGCUGUCCCCACCCCACCAACCAUAAAUAAAUGUUUAAAAAAGAUCUAGAACACUGUGUAGAUAUACUUGAAAAGGAACUUGAUUUUGAAUAAGAGAAAUGAUUUUUUUUUUAAAGUCAAAAAAGACUAACUUCUGGGUUUAGUAACUGGUGGGUGAUUAUUCCAGGUAAUAGGAGAAGGAAAGUUUGGGUAAGGCCAUGUUUGUUUAAUAUAGGUUAGGUAGAAGCCAGAUGUAUUUGUGCAUAGCCUUAAUCCUAGAGGCAGAGAGGUAGGUGGGUCUAUAAGUUCAAAACCAGCCUGAUCUAUAGAGUGAGUUCCAGGAUAGCCAGAGCUAAACAGAGAAUCCCUGUCUCCAAAAGUGUGUGUGUGUGUGUGUGUGUGUGUGUGUGUGUGUGUAUGUAUAGAUAGGUAGAUAGGCAGGAGAGAUAGCCUGCUACUAAGCUUAAGGCUCUCAGGGACCCACAUAAUGGAGAGAGUAUCAACUCCUGCCGGGUUGUCCUGACUCUCACAUGCCCACUGUGACCUGGGUAGUACCCUCCCCUAUAACACAAGUAAAUAAAUGUAAUAAACCUUAGAACAAGGAUGGAGGUGGGCAUGAGUAGGAAAGGGUUUGAAAUUUGAGGUGAAGGGUCAUCCUAGUCAUAAAAUGAUAUACAUAACUCUGGAGGUCAGAACAGAACUAUAAAUCAAGAAACUUUUAAAUCACAGGACCAGAUAAGUUAACAGGGGAGAUAGGGAAAGGAGAGGCCCAACACCAGAUAAGAAAAGGCUAUGGCCUGGCAUUUGCUGCCAAGCCUGGCAACUCAACACACAUUCGGUAGGGAGAGAAGUAACUCUUGCAGGUUUCCCUCUGAUCUCCCUCACACACUGUGGCACCUUCCAACUCAGCACUGGGGGAGUGGUGAGGGGGUCCUUGAGAUAAUUCAACAGGUGCUUGCUUCCAAACCUGCCACCUGAGUCCGAUUCUCAAAACCCACAUGUUGGAAGUAGAGAACAGACUCGUAUUCUGAUCUGUACACGUGGGCUGUGGCAUACACUGAACAAAUGAAAAGAAAAAGAAAAAGGAGAAAGAAUGGUCAGCUGUGCAAAACUGAUGUGGUGGUGGGGCAGGAGAGAUGGCUCAGGAGGAAGAGCAUUGGCUGCUUUCCAGAGGACUGGGAUUUGGUUCCUAGCAUCCACAUGCUGGUUCACAACUGUUUCUAGCUCCAGUUCUAAAGGAACUGACCUUUGUUGGCACCAGGAACAUAAAUGGUGUACAUACAUACAUACAUGCAUGCAUGCAGGCAUUCAUACAUAUAAGAGUAAGUAAAUCU